rnacentral:rRNA from 1 species
UGUCCCAGUUCGGACUGGAGUCUGNAACCCGACUCCACGAAGUUGGAUUCGCUAGUAAUCGCGCAUCAGCCAUGGCGCGGUGAAUACGUUCCCGGGCCUUGUACACACCGCCCGUCAAGCCAUGGGAGCCGGGGGCGCCUGAAGUCCGGGACCGCGAGGACCGGCCUAGGGCGAAACUGGUAACUGGGGCUAAGUCGUAACAAGGUACC